GGAAAAUGGUGGAAUUGUUCUAUGAUGUUGUCUCUCCUUAUUCCUGGCUGGGAUUCGAGGUACUGUGUCGCUACAGAAAUGUUUGGAACAUCGACCUCAAAUUGAAACCUGCAUAUUUAGGGGGAGUCAUGCACGCUUCAGCUUCAAGUUUUCAAGAUGAAGAAAUUCAGAACACCAAAUUCAAUAUUCUAAAAUUCGAUAUUUGCAAGUUCUUUAUCCUCGCACAGCUUUACUCUAUCGCGCGUGUGAGCAUCAAUAAUGCGUGUGGAUUAAUGGCGUUGAAAUGCCUUCAUAAUGAUGAGCAUAAUGAUAAAUAAAAUUAUGAAACAGUAAAAAGGCUUAUACUGUUACGAAUGGAGGCAGACGAGGAGAGCGGAUCUAAAUGCAAUCUUACUUUUAUUAACUGAGACAAUCAAGAAAUACAAAGGAAAACCCUCAAUGGGGAAAUGAACAUAACACUGAACACACGAUGAAAACAAAACUGAGAAAACGGGCAGGGGACACAUACCAGGCUAACAACAUUCAACGAUAGACAAGGACUGAACCAAAAACCAGGGUAUAUAUACAUGAACAUAGAACUAAGAGGCCAAUGAACAAACAGAACACCAAACAAGAUAACGAGGGAAGAAACAGAGGCAAGUGGCAAGUUAACGAGGGACAGGUGAAAGCAAUGACGGAAAACACGAACGCUAACAAAGAGACUAUGGAGUUACAUACGCGACAAAAGUGAAAACUAUGGAAUGCAAAAAGUGACAAAAAUGGCAAACAAGAGGGAACAGUGAAACAAGACGAGGUAUGCCGAACAGAGCCCCCCACAAGGAUCGGAUUCCAGACGAUCCAAAAUAAAUAAACAAAUAAUAAAAAAAAAAACACCAGGGGCAGACAGACAGACCAGGGGGGCACGAGAGUAGGCAGGAAGUCCAAGGGGGCACAGAGGGCAGGCAGAAAGUUCAGGGGGGCACAGAGGGCAGGCAGGAAGUCCAGGAGGGCACAAAGGGCAGGCAGGAAGUCCAGGGGGGCACAAAGGGCAGGCAGGGAGUCCAAGGGGGCACAGAGGGCAGGCAGGGAGUCCUGGGGGGCACAAAGGGCAAGGACAGGUUCGGGAGGUCUGGGAGCUGGCCACAGGGCAAGGAUAGGUUCAGGAGGCCUGGGAGCUGGCCACAGGGCAAGGGUAGGUUCAGGAGGCCUGGGAGCUGGCCACUGGACAGGGACUGGGUCAGGGGCCCUGGGAAGAGGCCACAGGACAGGGACCGGGUCAGGAGGCCUGGGAGGAGGCCACAGGACUGGAACAGGGUCAGGGGGCCUGGGAGGAGGCCACAGGACAGGGACUGGGUCAGGGGGCCUGGAAGGAGGCCACAGGACAGGGACUGGGUCAGGGGGCCUGGAAGGAGGCCACAGGACAGGGACUGGGUCAGGGGCCCUGGGAGGAGGCCACAGGACAGGGGCCGGGUCAGGAGGCCUGGGGGGAGGCCACAGGACGGGAACAGGGUCAGGAGGCCUGGGAGGAGACCACAGGACAGGGACUGGGUCAGGAGGCCUGGGAGGAGACCACAGGACGGGAACAGGGUCAGGAGGCCUGGGAGGAGGCCACAGGACAGGGGCCAGGUCAGGAGGCCUGGGAGGAGGCCACAGGACAGGGACUGGGUCGGGGGCCCUGGGAGGAGGCCAUAGGAUAGGGGCCGGGUCAGGAGGCCUGGGAGGAGGCCAUAGGAUAGGGGCCGGGUCAGGAGGCCUGGGAGGAGGCCAUAGGACAGGAACAGGGUCAGGGGCCCUGGGAGGAGGCCACAGGACAGGGGCCGGGUCAGGAGGCCUGGGCGGAGGCCACAGAUCAGGAACAGGGUCAGGGGCCCUGGGAGAAGGCCCUAGAGGCGGAGACCUGGAAGGCUCUGGCGGCGGGGCCGAUGGAGGUGGCGCCAUAGGAGGCUCUAGAGGCGGAGGCCUGGAAGGCUCUGGAGGCGGAGCCGUAGGAGGCUCGGGAAGCGGAGCCCAGGAAGGCUCGAGAGACUUGAGGAGCGGAAUCCUAGAGAGCCCGGGAGGCGGAGCCGUAGGAGGCUCAGGAGGCGGAGCCGUAGGACGCUCGAGAGGUGGAGCCCUAGAAAGCUCUGGAGUCUCUGGGAGCAGAGCCGGAGGAGGCUCGGGAGGUGGAGCCGUAGGAUGCUCAAGAGGUGGAGCCCUAGAACGCUCUGGAGUCUCUGGGAGCAGAGCCGUAGGAGGCUCGGGAGGCGGAGCCAUAGGAGGCUCAGGAGGUGGAGCCGUAGGAGGCUCGAGAGGUGGAGCCCUAGAAAGCUCUGGAGUCUCUGGGAGCAGAGCUGUAGGAGGUUCGGGAGGCUGAGCCAUAGGAGGCUCGGGAGGCGGAGCCGUAGGAGGCUUGAGAGGCUGGAGGGGCGGAGCCCUGGAAAGCUCAGAAGUCUCUGGGAGCAGAGCGUAGGAGGCUCGGGAGGUGGAGCCGUAGGAGGCUCUGGAGGUGGAGCCGUAGGAGGCUCGGGAGGCUGGAGGGGCGGAGCCCUGGAAGGCUCGAGAGGCUUGAGAGGUGGAGCUCUGGGAAGCUCGGAGGGCGGAGCUCUGGCAAGCUCGGAGGGCGGAGCUCUGGCAAGCUCAGGAAGCUCGGAAGGCAGGGUUCUAGGAAGCUUGGAGAGCGGAGCUCUGGAAAGCUCGGAAGGCGGAGCUCUGGAAAGCUCGGAAGGCGGAGCUCUGGAAAGCUCAGGAAGCUCGGAAGGCAGGGUUCUAGGAAGCUUGGAGAGCGGAGCUCUGGAAAGCUCGGAAGGCGGAGCUCUGGAAAGCUCGGGCAGCUCGGAAGGCGGAGCUCUGGAAAGCUUGGGAGGGAGAGCUCUGGGAAGCUCGAGAGGCACUGACUCUUGGACGGGUACGACCACUGGCGCCGGCUUUUGGAUGGUCGUGGCUACUGGCGCUGGCCCUUGGACGGUCAUGGCUACUGGCAUGGGCCCUUGGACGGUCAUGGCUGCAGGCGCUGGCUCAGGGAUGGUCGGGGCUGCAGGCGCUGGCUCAGGGACGGUCGGGGCUGCAGGCGCUGGCUCUGGGACGGUCGGGCUGCAGGCGCUGGCUCUGGGACGGUCGGGGCUGCAGGCGCUGGCUCGCUGGCCGUGGCAGGCUGGCUCGCUGGCCGUGGCAGGCGCUGGCUCGCUGGCCGUGGCAGGCGGAGACUGGGGAGCAGAAGCCUUUCUUCUUUUCCUCCUCCUCCUCCGGGCGGAUGAAGCUGGCAGCGCUGGCUCGUUGGCCGUGGCCGGCACGGAAAGCCCAGAGGCGGAAACCAGGAUCGAGAGAGGUGGCUCCCCGGUAGCGAGCUCCCUCAAGACCAGACUCACAUACUCCAUCCACGUGAGGUCUCCGGGGUCCGGCAAUUCCCUCUGCCGGUGUCUUGGUAGCCCGAGCCGGUAGAUGGUCUUCAGGGACGUGUCGUCAAAGCCGGUGUGGAUGGCAACAGUGGAAAAAAGUGGGAGUACUCGCGGUAGGUCAGAUCCGCCUGGGCCAGUUCCGUAAAGAAAGCUGCUAGAUCCAUAUUUGGCGGUCUAUCGUUCUGUUACGAAUGGAGGCAGACGAGGAGAGCGGAUCUAAAUGCAAUCUUACUUUUAUUAACUGAGACAAUCAAGAAAUACAAAGGAAAACCCUCAAUGGGGAAAUGAACAUAACACUGAACACACGAUGAAAACAAAACUGAGAAAACGGGCAGGGGACACAUACUAGGCUAACAACAUUCAAUGAUAGACAAGGACUGAACCAAAAACCAGGGUAUAUAUACAUGAACAUAGAACCAAGGGGCCAAUGAACAAACAGAACACCAAACAAGAUAACGAGGGAAGAAACAGAGGCAAGUGGCAAGUUAACGAGGGACAGGUGAAAGCAAUGACGGAAAACACGACCGCUAACAAAGAGACUAUGGAGUUACAUACGCGACAAAAGUGAAAACUAUGGAAUGCAAAAAGUGACAAAAGUGGCAAACAAGAGGAAACAGUGAAACAAGACGAGGUAACAGCCCCCCUG